rnacentral:rRNA from 1 species
AUGGAGGAUGAGACGGCGGCACCAGCGGCCAAGAUCCGGAUCAAGACGAACCCGUACAUCCCCCAUGAGGUCGUCACCGAGAUCCUCCUCCGGCUGCCCGUCACAUCACUUCUCCGGUUCAGGUGUGUCUCCAAGGCAUGGCACACCACCAUCUCCAACGAUCCAUCCUUCCAGUGCACGCACCUUCGCCGGCACAGGACCGACGACCCGUGCCUGCUCAUCGCCCCGCGGAUCCAUGCGAUCGGCAAAAAUUUCAACGGUAGCCUCACCGGCCUCUACCAGUGGGAGGAGGACCAUGCCUACGGCACCGCGACGGCCCUCCUGUACCCAAUGCCGGUACCUCCGUUUCCCGAAUUUCUCGAGGCGCACGACCUUGUCCAUUGCGACGGGCUGGUGCUCGUGGGAACCCGGUCCGCAGCGUGGGUGCUCAACCCAGUGAUGCGCCGCGUCGUGGAAUUACCCUGGGGGCGCCUUGGCGGUUCAACGUCCUUCAGCUACCUCGAGGCGUUCGGUCUCGGGCGCGACCCUCGCUCCGACGCCUACAAGGUCGUUCGUUUCUUCAUGCCUCCGCGUGUAGAGGUGUUGACGAUUGGAAGCUCAGAACGGUGCUGGCACGAGACGGUGUCACAACCCCCGUGGUUUCACGUCAAGAGGCGGCCGGCGGCGAUCUGCUUCAAGGGGUCCUUGAUCUGGACAGUUGAUCAAAAGAAUCGUAAUGGUCAAUUGGGUUUUCUGCGGUUUAGGUUGGAUGAAGAAACAUUCAGCCUCAUUCUACCACCUCCUUGCUGGUCAUGGGACGACCACGAGGCAUCCACUUUAUCUGAGUUGAGGGAAGUGCUGUGCUUGACCACAAGUGUAGGGUUAAUGAAUCGAUCCCUUGACAUGUGGAUAUGCACCGACUUGGACCUUCCACAAUGGGAGAAGUGCUACAACAUCCUCUCUGACUGGACCCAACCUCUUCAUCCGGUGGCUAUGUUGGGUAAUGGAGUACUCGUGUGCCGAUCCUCUGGUAAUUAUCUGCACCGCUGCACUUUUCAACCUGGAAAAGGUGUCACGGUCAACCAUACAAUUUGUAUGAAUGACCUAAGAUAUGACAACCUCGACGAGGACACACUUGUUGAAUAUCCAAGCCGAACUGCCACAUACUUUGAUGCAAUCCCCUACGUCCCAAGCUUCGUCUUAAUCUAG